AUUGAACGCUGGCGGCAGGCUUAACACAUGCACGUCGAGCGAGCGGCGGACGGGUGCGUAAUGCUUCGGAAUCUGCAUAUUAGUGGGGGAGAACAUCCCGAAAGGGGUGCUAAUACCUCAUACUAACAGAUGAGCAUAAUUUGGAUUAGCUAGGUGGUGGGGUAAAUGCCCACCAAGGCGACGAUCUGUAGCUGGUCUGAGAGGAUGAUCAGCCACAAUGGAAGUGUGACACGGUCCGGACUCCUCCGGGAGGUAGCAGUGGGGAAGAUUGGACAAUGGGCGAAACCCUGAUCCAGCCAUGCCGCGUGUGUGAAGAAGGCUUCGGGUUGUAAAGCACUUUCAGCGGGGAGGCGUUACCUGCAGAAGAAGCACCGGCUAACUCCGUGCCAGCAGCCGCGGUAAUAC
rnacentral:rRNA from 1 species